GAUGAACGCUGGCGGCGUGCCUAACACAUGCAAGUCGAACGGACUUCUUCGGAAGUUAGUGGCGGACGGGUGAGUAACGCGUAAGAAUCUACCUUCAGGAUGGGGACAACAGUUGGAAACGACUGCUAAAACCCGAUGUGCCGCAAGGUGAAAUAUUAAUAGCCUGAAGAAGAGCUUGCGUCUGAUUAGCUAGUUGGUGGGGUAAGAGCCUACCAAGGCGACGAUCAGUAGCUGGUCUGAGAGGAUGAGCAGCCACACUGGGACUGAGACACGGCCCAGACUCCUACGGGAGGCAGCAGUGGGGAAUUUUCCGCAAUGGGCGAAAGCCUGACGGAGCAACGCCGCGUGAGGGAGGAAGGCUCUUGGGUUGUAAACCUCUUUUGCUUGGGAAGAAGAUCUGACGGUACCAAGCGAAUCAGCAUCGGCUAACUCCGUGCCAGCAGCCGCGGUAAUACGGAGGAUGCAAGCGUUAUCCGGAAUUAUUGGGCGUAAAGCGUCCGCAGGUGGUCGUUCAAGUCGGCUGUCAAAGGUUGAAGCUUAACUUCAAAAAGGCAGUGGAAACUGAACAACUAGAGGUCAGUAGGGGUAGCAGGAAUUCCCAGUGUAGCGGUGAAAUGCGUAGAGAUUGGGAAGAACAUCGGUGGCGAAAGCGUGCUACUGGGCUGAAUCUGACACUGAGGGACGAAAGCUAGGGGAGCAAAAGGGAUUAGAUACCCCUGUAGUCCUAGCCGUAAACGAUGGAAACUAGGCGUGGCUUGUAUCGACCCGAGCCGUGCCGAAGCUAACGCGUUAAGUUUCCCGCCUGGGGAGUACGCACGCAAGUGUGAAACUCAAAGGAAUUGACGGGGGCCCGCACAAGCGGUGGAGUAUGUGGUUUAAUUCGAUGCAACGCGAAGAACCUUACCAAGGCUUGACAUGUCGCGAAUCCCGAUGAAAGUUGGGAGUGCCGUAAGGAGCGCGAACACAGGUGGUGCAUGGCUGUCGUCAGCUCGUGUCGUGAGAUGUUGGGUUAAGUCCCGCAACGAGCGCAACCCUCGUCCUUAGUUGCCAGCAUGUAAAGAUGGGCACUCUGAGGAGACUGCCGGUGACAAACCGGAGGAAGGUGGGGAUGACGUCAAGUCAGCAUGCCCCUUACGCCUUGGGCGACACACGUACUACAAUGGUUGAGACAAUGGGCAGCGAACUUGCGAAAGUCAGCGAAUCCCAUCAAACUCAGCCUCAGUUCAGAUUGCAGGCUGCAACUCGCCUGCAUGAAGGAGGAAUCGCUAGUAAUCGCCGGUCAGCAUACGGCGGUGAAUCCGUUCCCGGGCCUUGUACACACCGCCCGUCACACCAUGGAAGCUGGCCACGCCCGAAGUCGUUACCCUAACCCAUUUAUGGGAGGGGGAUGCCGAAGGCAGGGCUAGUGACUGGGGUGAAGUCGUAACAAGGUAGCCGUACCGGAAGGUGUGGCUGGAUCACCUCCUUUUAGGGAGACCCAACUCGCUUUUGAUUUAGCCAAAACUAAAAUAAUUGCUAAAAAAAGCUGAGAUAUCCCAAGGUCGUGACAAGGGUGAAGAAACAGUUAAACGUCAAAAGGCUUUCAAACUUUGUCAAUGGGCAAGAGGAAAAAACGGGCUAUUAGCUCAGGUGGUUAGAGCGCACCCCUGAUAAGGGUGAGGUCCCUGGUUCAAGUCCAGGAUAGCCCAGACAGUUAUUGAGUCACUCAUUAAAAACUACUAUCAAUCACUUGACAAAAAUCAAAAAGAAGUGAUAGGAUGAGACUCCAUGACUAAAAACAACUCCAAAAAAUUCAGCACCGAUUCUGAAAAAGUUCAGAAAGAAUGCUGGAUUUGAAAAAAGUCCAGACAGCACCAUGAAAACUGCAUAAAGAAAAAGAGAAAAAG
rnacentral:rRNA from 1 species